GAUCCAACUCCCGGCCCCUUCCCAGGAUAAUCCCUGAUCCAAUUCCCAGGACAAUCCCAGCAUUCCCGGAUCCAACUCCCAGCCCCUUCCCAGGACAAUCCCGGAUCCAAUUCCCAGGACAAUC